rnacentral:rRNA from 1 species
GCAAGUCGUGCGAGAAAGUCUCUUCGGAGGCGAGUAGAGCGGCGAACGGGUGAGUAACACGUAAGUAACCUGCCUUUAAAUCUGGGACAACCUUUCUAACGAGGGGCUAAUACCGGAUGUGAUUAUAAUGACUCAUGUUAUAAUAAUUAAAGAUGACCUCUUCUUGAAAGUUAUUGUUUAAAGAUGGACUUGCGUACCAUUAGUUUGUUGGUGGGGUAAUGGCCUACCAAGACUACGAUGGUUAGCCGACCUGAGAGGGUGAUC